ensembl:lncRNA
CCACCUUGAAGCAGGAUAUCACUGUGUAGUCUAGCCUGGGCUCACACUCCCUAUCCUCCAGCCUCAGCCUAAUGAGUGCUGGAAUUAGAGCUUUUUGCCAUCAUAUCCGGCACUAGUCUGUCUUUAAGCAAGUUUCAACACAUGCUGUACUAGGUCUUUGUGGGUUGAACAUUUGAAGAGAAUAAGUUUAAGCCGAUGACCCCAGGGACUCCUCAGCAAAUCUGUGGAUACUUUCACAGAAAGCAGCUUGAUUGGCUGAGGGAUAGAACUUACCAGGGACGGAGAUUUACAGCCAACCAGCUAUUAAUUGCAAGAUUCCUUGGUGUCCUUGGUCCUCUCUGGUUCUUAGAAUGUUUCUACUUUGUCUUUCUCAUAGUUCCCUAAGCUCUGAGGGGAAGGGUUUGACGAAGAUGUCCUGUUUAGGACUGAUACUAACAAAGCUUCCCAUUCUCUGCAUGUUGUCCAUUGGUGGGUCCCUGAGUAGUUUCUGUCUGUUGCAGGAAGAAGCUUCUUGAUGGUGACUGGGCCAGACACUGAGCUGAGUACAGGUCUGAUGUAGCUACUGAGGAAUCCCAGAUGGGAUGUGACGAGCUGCUUCAAGCUCCUGCUGCCGCCUUUGAUGGAAUGACUGUACCUUGGACUGUGAGCUAGAUAAAUCUUCCCACCUUAAGUCUCUUUUUGUCAAGGUAUCUUAUGACAGCACCGGGGGAUAAAACCCAAGACAGAAGCUGAAGACUGGUGUUCCUUAGAGAAGUUACAUAAUUUGUUUUCCUGCUUGAAGUCACCACCCAGUUUACAUCUCCCCACAUAGUCAGAACACUAACCUUUUACAGAAUGUCUCAUGCUUCAUCCUGUUCGCCGAUAAUGCUCUCACAUUUGUCUACCACAGGAACAGCCACAGGGAUUGUGGAAAUGUUCCCUGUGACCAGCUCCCACGGCAGAAUGGAAGAGAAGAGGCUGUUUGUUGUUGUAAAAAUAUAAAAUAAAACAAGUAUUGUUGGUCUUUUAUCCCGCUAGGCCUGCACCGCGGUGCCCCAAGAUAUCUGCUAGAUAUCUUGGCAGAAACACAUCCCAACUCCUCAGCGGCCCAGUGUCUCCUGCCGCCACACACUUUCCUUCACUCAAACCCUCACAUAAAAGAACACAUAACACAAUAAUCUUAGAUCCAAUUGAUAAGAUAUAAUUGCCCACUUAAACAUACAAACCCUGGUACCAUUCAUCCCUUAGGAACAUUGAUAACAACCUGUAAAUACACAGAGCAG